UGAAGUAAUUCUCAAUCUCUCUCUAUAAACUUCUUCUUUUUUAUGUGUCUUAUCUGUUUAUAUCUGCUUGGUUAACAUGGUAUAUUCGUCGGAAAAGCUUCAAGUUUGACGGUAUUACGAUCUUGGAUUCUUCGCUUCUGCUUCCUUGUUGCUAUUUCCCUCUACAUAUCUUUUGAUUCUCUUUGAUCUCAUCUCUGAUGUUAGGGGUUUUUUGUAUCCUAUAUUUGUGAGUAUAUAUGUGUGUUCUCUUACACACAAAAGGUGUUUGAUAAAAGUUCUCAGCCAAUUCUUUCUUUGGUUUGGAUCUCUGUCUAUCACAAUGGUGAUGACAUCUCAAUUGCAGAUCUUGCAAUUGCCAAUAUGUCCUUGGUUUCUUCAAUUUUGACUUUUGUUACUAUGAAGCUCGAUGAUUUAGACUACUUGCAUUGGCAUUUCCAUAUGCAAUUGUUGCUUGAUGGCUAUGGCAUCGUUAGUUUAUGGAUGAUUCUACUCUUUAUCCUAAAUGAUUUCUUGAUACCAACUCUGGUGAUUCUGAGGUUAAUUCUGAAGGAUCAUUUACUCGGUGUGAAUCUGAGGUUAUCUCAUGAUAUUAUCUCAUGUGCAAUUGGAAGCAGUAGUUCUCAAGACUUAUGGAAUCGUCUCAAGAAAAAAUUCUCCACAAUUACUCGAAUCAAUAUUUUCCAGAUGAAAUCUGAAUUGCAAAUGAUUAAGAAGGGUAAUAAUUCUAUCAAUGUCUAUUUACAAAGAAUUAAAGAAGCUAUGGAUUAUCUGUCUGCUGCUCGAGAAUGUUUUGAUGAUGAUGAUGAUAUUGUGUCACUUUGAAUGGACCACUUGCUGAAUAUAAUACAAUUAGAUCUGUAAUUAGAUAGCACGAAGCUGUCAUUUCUUUAAAGGAUCUUCGGUCUCAAUGUUGACAAUGUAUCUGCUACUCAAAUGCUUUCUGCUUUAGUAGCUGAUACAAAUGAGUUUAAUUCUAAGUUUAGAGGUUCUUACAGUACACAACAUAAUCAUUCUUCUUUCAAUUUUGGUGGUUACAAGUCCACUAACAACAAGAACAAAGGUAGAUGUUUUCUCAAAACUUCAAUUUUGGUGGUUACAAGUUCUUUGGUUGUUCAAAAUCACUCUAUUCUAAGUCAACAUCUGUAAUUCUUGGUACUUGUCCACCAAAGUAGAAAGUUGAUGUCCUUCCUUUGCAUAAUUGUCAAAUACGUUGCAAAAAUAAUAAUCUUGUCGAUACAUGUAGAUUCAAGAAUGCUGCUACUUCUCAAGUAUGUCAAAUAUGUGGAAAAAACAACCAUUUUGCUAAUACUUGUUAGUUCAGAAUUAAUGCAGUUUCUCAAGGUUGUUAUAUUUGUGGAAAUCCUCAUUAUGAUGCAGUAUUUUGUUUUCAGAAGAACUCUUCUCCUAUAAGUGCAUUGCAUGUCAAUAAUCAUUCUCCUUCUCCACCUCCCCAAAUGUCAUAGUACUUCUUAAAAUGUGUUGAUCACCGAUUCAGGAGCGACAAACCAUAUGACAAUUGACUUGAAUAACUUGUCUAUUGCAACUCUAUACCUAUCCAAUGAGAUAAUCCAAACAGCUUAUGGUGAAGGUUUAUCAAAAUCACAUAUUGGUUCCUCCCUUCUUAACCCUUCAUUGCAGCCUUUGAAAUUAAAUUCAGUGUUAUAUGUGCUUAAAUUGCCUCAGAAUUUGGUCUCAGUUCAUAGAAUAUGUUUGGAUAUAACUGCUGGUUAAUCUUUUAUGUUUUUUUCUUUUAGAUUCAAUACAAAACCAUAAGGAGGAUUCUCUUCAAAGAACUGUGUAGUAAUAUAUUGUACCCUAUACCUUCAUUAACUCAUUCCGGUUCAUAAAAGCAAGUGUUUGGUGCUGCUUAUCUUUGACAACAAGUUACAUCCAAUAUUUGGCAUAAUAGGCUAGGUCAUCAUUUUAAUCUCAUAGUCUCUUAAAUGUUAAGAAAAUCAAAUAUGUCUCUUGCCUAUGAUAUUAUACCUAUGUUGUUUCACAGAUGUCUAGAAGGCAAGUUCACAAAGCUUCCUUUCAAUACUAACGUGUCAAGCCUGGAUAUCCAUUUGAGGUUGUUCAUAGUAAUGUGCAGAGCCCAUCUCCUUGUGUUUCUAUUGAAAGUUUUAAAUACUAUAUAACCUUCAUUUAUGAGUGUACUAGAUAUUGUAGGAUUUUUCCAUUAUGCAACAACAGUGAUGUAUGUUCCACUUUUGUCUCCUUUUAUAAUUUCAUUCUUAAUCACUUUAAUGUUUCCAAUAAGACCUUACACAGUGAGGGGGGGGUGAAUACAUAGGAAAAGCUUUCAAAACCUUUUGGUUAGAUAAAGGAAUUAGCCAUCAUAUGUCAUGUCCUUAUACAAUGGAAAGCUGAAAUGAAGCAUAGAUAAAUCAUUGAAAUUACCAUUACACUUUUACAAACAGCCUCAGUACCUCCUUUUUUUCUGGUCUUUUGCUUGCCAAACAUUUGUUUAUCUUAUCAACAAAAUGCUAACAUCUACUUUACAUCACAGAUCUCCAUUUGACGUUUUGUUAAAGUCUGUUCCUGAAAUUCAACAUCUCAGAGUGCUUGGUUGUUCAUGUUUUCCAUUGUUAAGACCGUAUAAUAAUACCAAGUUGCAAACUAAAACCACAAAAUGUGUCUUUCUAAGAUAUGCCUCUAAGUUCAAAGGCUAUGUUUGUUACGAGGUAUCCAAAAAGAGAAUGUGCAUCUCUAUACAUGUAUUAUUUGAUGAGUCUGAGUUUCCAUAUCUCACAUUAGUGAACUAAGUCUCACACAAAGCAUCACAUUUUCCUUAUCAACCAAUCUAACCUCUAAUACCAGUCUCAAAUCAUAGUAAUGUUUUGGUUGUUCCUCAAUCAAAUGAGUUUACUACAAUUACUCAUGAUUCCAUUCAGUUCGUACCUCAUACAGCUGUUGAGUCUAGUUUGGCUCCUAUGCAUAUACCAUAUAUUACAUCUAGCCAUGACACUGCAACGAAAGAUCUGCAUCUCAAUCAUCUUGCUCCCUAUCUCCGUGGUACUUGAAUUCCAUCCUAAGAGCUUUCAAGUUGUCCUAUCCAUUCCACCUCUCAAUUUGUAUCCUAUGCAAACAAGGUCCAAAUGUGGAAUUUCAAAGAAAAUGGCAUUGGUAUUUGAAUUCAUGAAAACAGGGGUAUUUAACUAAGGUUGAACAUGGUACUUAUAAUCAGCCUUGAAAUCUUCAAUAUGGGUUGCUGCUAUCUAAGAGGAACCUUUAGCUUUAUAUUCUCAAGGGACAUGGUCUUUGGUUGCACUUCCUCUCAGAAGGAACUUAGUUAGUUGUAAGUGGGUCUUUAAGAUAUAAAAGAAUGCAGAUGGUACAAUUGGGAAUAUAAGGCUAGGUUAUUAGUUGCUAGAAGGUUUAACCAAUAAGAGGAAAUUGAUAAUGGUGAAACCUUUAGUCCAGUAGUCAAGCCUACAAUUGUGAGGUUAGUUCUUACCUUAGUUGCUCAUUAUGGUUGGUCCUUAAGACAUUUAGAUGUUAAAAAUGCUUUUUUUACAUAGUGUGUUACAAGAAGAGGUAUAUAUGGUUGAAUCACCUGGAUUUGUAGAUGCUCAUCAUUCUGACCAUGUUUGUAGACUUCAUAAGUCUUUAUAUGGGUUGAAACAAGCUCCAAGAGCUUGGAAAGAAAGAUUUACAAGGUUUCUUUCUUCUUUGGAUUCUCAUACUACUCAGGCUUAUUCCUCAUUUUGUGGUUAUUAUAUGUGGAUGAUAUUAUCAUUACUGGAAAUGCUACUAUUGCUAUAGUUGAUGUUAUCACUGCUCUUACAAAAGAAUUUGAUGUAAAGACUUGUUGCCCUUACAUUUUUGGGUAUUCAGAUUGUUCAAAAACAGGAUGCCAUUAUUCCAUAAUUGUAUAGAAGUUUCGUAUGCGCCCUUCAGUACCUGACAUUUAUAGGACUUGACUUUGCUUUUGCAAUGCAUCGGGUAUGUCAGUUUAUGCAGUGUCCCAUGGACUCUCAUUUUGUAGCAGUCAAAUGAAUUAUUACGUACUUGAGAGCAACAAAGGGCUAUGGUCUACAUUAUGUUAAAGAAUAUUAGACUUGAGAGGUUUCAGUGAUGCAGAUUGGGCAAGUGAUCCUAAUGAUAGAAGGUCUACUACUGGGAUGGUUGUGUUUUUGGGUUCCAAUCCCAAUUCUUGGUCUUUUAAGAAACAACAAACUGUUUUCAGAUCCUCCACUAAAGCAGAGUACAUGGCUUUGUCCACCACUGCUGUUGAGAUUAAUUAGAUCAAAAAGUUGCUUACAUUUCUUUAUGUUCCGUUCUAUGUUCCUCCAACACUCUUCUAUGACAAUCUUUUAGCUAUAGCCCUUACUUGUAAUCCAGUUAUGCAUUAGAGAACCAAACAUAAUCAAAUUGAGGUUCACUUUGUGAGGAAAAAGUUGCUAAACAUUUGUUGCAGGUUCAAAUUGUUUCCUCAAUUGAAUAGUUUGCUGACAUUUUGACAAAAUGGUUUUUUGCUCCUUUAUUUUAGAUACAUUGCUCCAAUCUCAGGCUUCAUUUCUCUGCUCUUGAGACAGAGGGGGAAUGUUAGGAAUAAAAAUUGAAUUAAUGGUUGUGAUGUUGGCGAGUGUCAAUAAAUUAGUUAGUUAUGAGUUGUAAGGAUUGUUUACUUUGUAAGCAAUCAUAGUUUAGACUAUACCUCUAUAAUAGUUGUACUAUUCACCCAAGAUUAAUAAAACAGUGAAAUCUCGUUUCUUACUA